AGAGUUUGAUCCUGGCUCAGGAUAAACGCUGGCGGCGUGCCUAAUGCAUGCAAGUCGCACGGAUCACCCUUUCGGGGGUGGUGAGUGGCGAACGGGUGAGGAACGCGUGGACAACCUACCCCGGCGUGGGGGAUACCCGCCAGAAAUGGCGGCUAAUACCGCGUACGGUUGCUUGGCGGCGGGCUGGGCAAAGAAAGCCGCAAGGCGCGCUGGGAGGGGUCUGCGGCCGAUUAGCUGGUUGGCGGGGUAGUGGCCCACCAAGGCGAUGAUCGGUAGCUGGUCUGAGAGGAUGAUCAGCCACACGGGGACUGAGACACGGCCCCGACUCCUACGGGAGGCAGCAGCAAGGAAUUUUCCGCAAUGGGGGCAACCCUGACGGAGCAACGCCGCGUGACGGAUGACGCCUCUUGGGGUGUAAACGUCUUUUGCCGGGGGAGAGAACGGACGGUACCCGGCGAAUCAGGACCGGCUAACUACGUGCCAGCAGCCGCGGUAAUACGUAGGGUCCGAGCGUUGUCCGGAAUUACUGGGCGUAAAGCGUGCGCAGGCGGCCCGUGAGGUGUCACGUGAAAGCCCCGGGCUCAACCCGGGAGGGUCGUGGCAAACCGGCGGGCUUGAGGCCGGUAGAGGUGGGUGGAACUCCUGGUGGAGUGGUGAAAUGCGUAGAGAUCAGGAAGAACACCCGUGGCGAAGGCGGCCCACUGGGCCGGUACUGACGCUGAGGCACGAAGGCGUGGGGAGCGAACGGGAUUAGAUACCCCGGUAGUCUACGCAGUAAACGAUGUCGACUCGGUGUGGGCGGUCUUGACCCCGUCCGCGCCACAGCUAACGCGACAAGUCGACCGCCUGGGGAGUACGGCNCGCAAGGCUAAAACUCAAAGGGAAUUGACGG
rnacentral:rRNA from 1 species